rnacentral:rRNA from 1 species
ACGAACGCUGGCGGCGUGCUUAACACAUGCAAGUCGAACGGAAAGGCCCUGCUUUUGUGGGGUGCUCGCGUGGCGAACGGGUGAGUAACACGUGAGUAACCUGCCCUCGACUUUGGGAUUACUUCAGGAAACUGGGGCUAAUACCGGAUAGGAGCUCCUGCUGCUUGGUGGGGGUUGGAAAGUUUCGGCGGUUGGGGAUGGACUCGCGGCUUAUCAGCUUGUUGGUGGGGUAGUGGCUUACCACGGCUUUGACGGGUAGCCGGCCUGAGAGGGUGACCGGCCACAUUGGGACUAAGAUACGGACCAGACUCCUACGGGAGGCAACAGUGGGGAGUAUUGCACAAUGGGCGGAAGCCUGAUGCAGCAACGCCGCGUGCGGGAUGACGGCCUUCGGGUUGUGAACCGCUUUCGCCUGUGACGAAGCGUGAGUGACGGUAAUGGGUAAAGAAGCACCGGCUAACUACGUG